rnacentral:rRNA from 1 species
GAUGAACGCUGGCGGCGUGCCUAACACAUGCAAGUCGAGCGAACAGACGAGGCGUUUGCGCCUCUCUCGCUAGCGGCGGACGGGUGAGUAACACGAGGAUAACCCACCUAUAAGACUGGGAUAACUUCGGGAAACCGGCGCUAAUACCGGAUCAGAUAUUGAACCGCAGGGUUCAAUGGUCAAAGCCGGUUUUGCUGGCACGUAUCGAUGGAUCCCAGCCGCAUUAGCUAGUUGGUAAGGUAAAGGCUUACCAAGGCGACGAGGCGUAUCCGACCGGACAGGGGGAUCGGCCACCCUGGAACUGGGCCACGGUCCUGACUCCUGCGGGACGCCGCAGUCGGGAAUCUUGCGCAAUGGGCGAAAGUCUGACACAGCACCGGCGAGUGCGUGAUGAAGGUCUUCCGAUCGUAAAACUCUGUUAUUAGGGAAGAACAACUGUCUCCUUAAAUAUGCCCGUCUUGACGGUACCUAAUCAGAAAGCUCCGGCUAACUACGUG